rnacentral:rRNA from 1 species
UACAGAGGUCCCAAGCGUUGUUCGGAUUCACUGGGCGUAAAGGGUGCGUAGGCGGUUGGGUAAGUCUGUCGUGAAAUCUCCGAGCCUAACUCGGAAACUGCGUCGGAUACUACUCAACUCGAGGAAUGGAGGGGAGACUGGAAUUCUCGGUGUAGCAGUGAAAUGCGUAGAUAUCGAGAGGAACACCAGUGGCGAAGGCGAGUCUCUGGACAUUUCCUGACGCUGAGGCACGAAAGCCAGGGGAGCAAACGGG